rnacentral:tRNA from 1 species
UGGCUGAGUGGUUAAGCAUUUGACUUCUGAACCGAGGGUCCCAGGUUCGAAUCCUGG